UACAGAGGUCCCAAGCGUUUGUUCGGAUUCAUUGGGCGUAAAGGGUGCGUAGGCGGCGCGGUAAGUCGGUGUGAAGUAACUGUGAGCUUAACUCCGAAACUGCAUUCGAUACUGCCGUGCUUGAGGACUGGAGAGGAGACUGGAAUUUACGGUGUAGCGGUGAAAUGCGUAGAUAUCGUAAGGAAGACCAGUGGCGAAGGCGGGUCUCUGGACAGUUCCUACGCUGAGGCACGAAGGCCAGGGGAGCAAACGGG
rnacentral:rRNA from 1 species